GCUUGUCUCAAAGAUUAAGCCAUGCAUGUCUAAGUAUAAAUCUUUUACUUUGAAACUGCGAACGGCUCAUUAUAUCAGUUAUAGUUUAUUUGAUAGUCCCUUACUACUUGGAUAACCGUAGUAAUUCUAGAGCUAAUACAUGCACCCAUGCCCGACUUUGUGGAAGGGUUGUGUUUAUUAGUUACAGAACCAACCCAGGCUCUGCCUGGUCUUGUGGUGAUUCAUAAUAACCGAACGAAUCGUAUGGCAUCAGCUGGCGAUGAAUCAUUCAAGUUUCUGACCUAUCAGCUUCCGACGGUAGGGUAUUGGCCUACCGUGGCAAUGACGGGUAACGGAGAAUUAGGGUUCGAUUCCGGAGAGGGAGCCUGAGAAACGGCUACCACAUCUAAGGAAGGCAGCAGG
rnacentral:rRNA from 1 species